AUACGUAGGUGGCAAGCGUUAUCCGGAUUUACUGGGCGUAAAGGGCGCGUAGGCGGCAUUGCAAGUCAGAAGUGAAAUUCCUGAGCUCAACUCGGGCGCUGCUUCUGAAACUGCAGGGCUUGAGUGCUGGAGGGGAUAGCGGAAUUCCUGGUGUAGCGGUAAAAUGCGCAGAUAUUAGGAGGAACACCGGUGGCGAAGGCGGCCUACUGGGCUUUUACUGCCGCUGAGGCUCGAAGGCAUGGGGAGCAAACAGGAUUAGAUACCCUGGUAGUCCAGGCUGUAAACGAUGAUUACUAGGUGUGGGGGGUCUGCCCCCUUCCGUGCCGCAGCUAACACAAUAAGUAAUCCACCUGGGGAGUACGGCCGCAAGGUUGAAACUCAAAGGAAUUGACGGGG
rnacentral:rRNA from 1 species